rnacentral:rRNA from 1 species
ACAUGCUUACAUCAUAGCGGUAAUGCACCAGAUCCCAUUAGAAAUCUGUAGUUAAGCGCACUCGGGCUAGAGUAGUACUGGGAUGGGUGAUCGCCCGGAAAAUCCUAGUAUUUUACAUGCC